CCAGCUAGAAUUCCAUCCAAUAGAAGACAGAGGGGAGAGAAGAGCAGGGUAUUGGUAGUAUCCACGCAAUUCAUCCAUUUAUUCCUCAAGCAUGUGUUGAGCGUUUGGCGAUGCUUCACGAUGCUGGACUCUGGACAUUCACAGAAGAUGAACACAUCUCGCAAAAGGUGAAAAUGUUUAAAUCACCUGGGAUAAAGAACAUUCAGGGUUGAAAGAAUACAUGUUUGGUUAUAAUACUGCUUAUUAAGCAAG
rnacentral:lncRNA from 1 species